rnacentral:rRNA from 1 species
ACGCACGCUGGCGGCGUGCUUAACACAUGCAAGUCGCACGGAAAGGCCCUGCUUGCAGGGUACUCGAGUGGCGAACGGGUGAGUAACACGUGGGUGAUCUGCCCUGCACUUCGGGAUAAGCCUGGGAAACUGGGUCUAAUACCGGAUAGGAGCCAUUUUUAGUGUGAUGGUUGGAAAGUUUUUUCGGUGUAGGAUGAGCUCGCGACCUAUCAGCUUGUUGGUGGGGUAAUGGCCUACCAAGGCGGCGACGGGUAGCCGGCCUGAGAGGGUGGACGGCCACAUUGGGACUGAGAGACGGCCCAGACUCCUACGGGAGGCAGCAGUGGGGAAUAUUGCACAAUGGGCGCAAGCCUGAUGCAGCGACGCCGCGUGGGGGAUGACGGCCUUCGGGUUGUAAACUCCUUUCGCUAGGGACGAAGCUUUUUGUGACGGUACCUAGAUAAGAAGCACCGGCUAACUACGUG